UCAUCAUCUCCACUCUUCCAACUAAAGAGUAUGCAAAGUUAGGUGGCUAUAUAUAUCUGUAUGAGUAAGUACGAAUUAAUUACCAAACCAAAUAAUCAAAGAAUCAUAUAUAACAACAUGCUUCUUGCUUCUGCUGCUCAUGCUCGUGUCCUCAUUUUUUUCUUGAUCAUAUUCUCAACCUAUUUCAAUGAGGCAAACGGGGAGGAAUUCAUUCCCAUGCAAAUGAAUACAAAUAAGAUGAUGAAGAUGAAAGAGAUGGUGAUGAGUAGAAAAAUAUUUGGAGGCUAUCAAGUUUGUUCAGCUUGCCAAUGCUGUGUUGGAGGGAACAGACGGUCAUGCGUGCAAUCUUCUUGCUGCUAUUCUAUAAUUUGCAACAUUCCCGGCAAGCCUCCUGGCACUUGUACCUUUGGCCCUAGGUCUUGUAAUUGCCUU